UGCUCGCCUGCCCGCUGCUGCUGCUGUCUUCCUUGCCCCGCCACCCCCGCCUCCGGCUGAAGGGAAGGCAAGGCACUUUGCACGCGCUCAGAGGCGCGCCUCGUAUUGCCCCAGCUGGCCGGGCAAGCAGCGCAUGCAUGCAUGCAGGAAGGGAGCCCCCGGGGUCGUGGUGGACCACAGAUUGGCAUCUCCAUCCCCACUUCCACCAUUCCCCGUUGCCUGAAGCUGCGUCGGAAUCGGCUGUGUAGCACAAGUCAGCUGUGUGGACCGCAGUCUGCAUGGACCCUUGGAAGACCCAGCCUGGCCUUCUCUGGGCAGCCACUGCUCUCUUCCCUCGGCCGAAAAGGAGCCAGUCGGAGGUGAAGGAGACAAGAAGACCCAAGGGACAGCAGAAGCAGGCCUGCAGGGCAUCUGGCUGUUGGGACCGAUAAUAUAUCCUGCAUGUUGGGCUGGAGACAAGGCUCACUCCACAUACAUUAAGGGAGCGAUUUCUCUGGCUGCAGUUCAUCGGGUUUGGAGUCUCACAAAGGAACACAGAGUCUCGUGUUUCCUGCACAGGGGCAAAGAGAAUGGAACUUCCUCGGUGGCUUGGAAUUGAACCCCACCACCCCAUGAAUGGAACAGCCUUUUCCACAUCUCCCUCCCUGCUGCAGAACCCUGAAGAUUUCACCUGAAGAAGUCACUUAUCCAUCUUAGUCCCACAGUGGGGACUCUUUCUUCAUCUAAUCAUCCCCCCAUCUUGCAUAUUUGUUAGUUGGGCAUAUUUCUAACCAACUCAUUAACGUUUUUGAGUUCAUCAGAUAUUUGCACUUGUGAUUUCUUGCAAUUUGGAAUAUGCAGUUUCUAGGAGAGAGAGAUAAAGCUUCUCUUGCAUUAUGCCACUGGGACUGCUGGUGCACUGAAACAGAACAAGUUGUACUAACAGCAUUAUGCUGGAUUUUGAUUAGAUAUGCAUAGCAGCACCACCUUUUAGAAAAACCUGUAGUAACAAGUAGAUUUCAGUUAGAUGCCUUAAACUGAGUUUUUUCUUCUUAAACGUAAAUAGAAAAACCAGGGUCAAGCAAAGAAAAUACAUGAAAAUUAACCUAUGUAUAAAUUUCUUCACAUUUAUUUAAAACAUUGCAAAGCAUCCAUUUCAUACAAUGUUGUUUACAGAAGAAUAAAUUACCUGAAUAUUUUAAACCAAUAUAUUGGUUUAACAUAGUAAAUUUCUAGAUAAAAUGUUUUACUGCUGCCCACCUUACAAACACUUUGCAAUUGUCCAUAUAUCAAAGUUAAUCCUGUGUUCAUGCAACUGAAACCAAUUACCUGUAUUUUCACAUAUACCCUACACACGGACACUCAAGUAUAACCUGGCAAAAAAUUAGCAUUUAUUUAAAAACCCAAGCACUGUGUAUUCCCUGCAUUGGUGUAUUAACCCAUGGGCUAAUACAUGUGAAAAUAUGGUAGUGGCCUCUUGUGCUUUGGUUCAGAUAGCUGGGCAAGGACAUGCAGAUUUUUCCCACCAUCCCCUGCUAAUCUCAUAUUCAGUAUUAGGUAAUCGGCAAAUAAGAGCACGAAAUGAAAUGAACUGACAUUUUAAAACCAAUGACUAAAUCUACAUAAAAAUAAUUUUGUAUAACCCACACCCCCUUAGAUUCCCCAAACCAUCCCUUGCAGGAUGCAGAAAGCAUAUAACCUGUGGAGUAUAUACACAAAAAUACAGCAAAGUACACACAUUUUAGUAAAAUAUUCAGUCAGGACCAGUUUUCCCAAUUUCUAUUUUGAGAAUAAGUUCUAAAAUUAGGAAUGUGUUGUUGUUAGUUUUGCUCUCAAGACACCAGAGAAUCCAAGUGAGUGAGUGAGUGAGUGUCCCCUGAACAAAUUAGGUAUUUGAACACACUGUUUUAAUGCAAGACUUACUGAUCUACCUCAAUAUGUUCUGCAUGACACAACAAUUUUAAAUACAAGAAUCCUAUAGGUGUGAGAUUCUGUACAGGGACCAUGAAGAAAGCAUUCAUACCUUAAACUGGGAAUGAUUAGCUCUACCCAAGAUAGUUCUACCUCUCUCUCCAAAUACUAUGCCAUUCAGGAAAUACAUUAAAACCAUCACUUAACUUGCUAACUGAACAAAAAAGCACCUUUUAAACAUGGUGAUUCUCAUUAUUUAGCAGGGGGAGAGCAACUGGCCCUCUCCACCCCCAUUGUGAGCCCUUUGGGGACAGGGAGCCAUUUAUUUAUUUAUUUAUCUAUCUAUCUAUGUAAACUGCUCUGGAAACUUUUGUCGAAAAGCAGUAUAUAAAUAUUUGUUGCUGUUGUUAAGCGGAAACACAUUUUAGUUUCUUUAGUGUAUAUUGGUAAACAAAACAGCAUGUCUGAUUGGUUUGAAAAGUGCCAGAACAAUGUUCAAUAUGGCACACAGCAGCAAGCGGCAGACCACAAAAUUGCUACUGAGUGCACAUAUCAAGAAAAUGUUUUAUAUUUUGCACAGAAUCAAUGCUGAGUGCAGUACAGAGCAAAUCAAUUUGCAAGUCAAGCAGUACCGUAAUACAAGCAUCUUCUUUCAUCAAUGCAGGUUAGAAAAGGGGCCGAGCAACAGCAAAACACUGACCAACAGCGAUCAAUAGUAAUUAUACAUUUAUAGCAUCCCUAUCAGCCAUGAAACAAUACUUUCAACUGAAAGCAUCCUUUUGCCUAGUGAAAAGAGCCCCAUAAGAAGCAAUAUUUUAAGCUGUUUUUCAGAUGUAUACAAUUAUACAAUACAAUUAUAUUGGCAACUGGAAGGAAGUGUUCUCAGUGGUCUGAACUUAAUCUUCAGUUUAAGAAUUGCCAAGCAACUGCAAUUUCAUGUUACCUUUUAAAAGGAAGUGCUAACACCACAUUUAACUGAUCAUUUCAGCAUGUCAAAGCACACAAAUAACUGUUCCAGAAGAUGUUUGGACACCUCCACUCAGUACAGAAAUUCCAUCAUCAAUGGGCUUAGUAUUUCUUUCCUAUAAGAAAGCCUUGCUCUGCUCUUCCUGCCUGCAGGCCGCACAGUUUGAAAGCCUGCUAUUCUCCCUUGUGGCCACAAGUCAGCCCAAUAAAGAGCACCAUCUAAGCCAUGCUGAACUCUUUCUUUAAGGGCACACACACACAAAAACUUCUAGUGGCUCUUGCUAAGUAAGACACUGAAAUUAUAGUAUGCCUGUUCAGCACUGGAAAGCACUUUUGGAACUUUAGAGCCAAGUGUAUUUACGUCUUCCAACAAUGCAAAACACAACCUUUGGUCAAAUCUCCACUUUGUGGUAGAACCAGACUUGUGGCGAGACAAAGCUACCACAGGAAUACCAGCAUGUACCCUGAGUGAUAUCCAUCAAUGGUGUCUUUGCAAUACUCUGGUCUGAUCUGAUCCACACAUUUUGCCACAUCAUGCUUAGUGAAGAGAAUAACCAGCAGAGAAUAAUCAAAGACACUUUGUUAAAUAAAAGCAGCAAAAUGAUCUCUGUUCUAAAACGACAACCUUCCUUCACAGAGAAAGGCUAAAAUAUAGCACAAGUCAAGAACUCUGUACUUCCCCAUUCUGCACCAAGAAAACCUCAACUCAGACUUGUAUGAUUUGAACAAAUUAAAGCAGACAUGUGCAAAGUAGAUUAUUUUGCACAUGUUUAUUCUGCUGCUGCUACUGUUGAAAAGAAAAGAAUGAUAAUUACAUACCACUGAAGCCCCACUCCUGAACACUGGAAAUCCUGCUUAAUUCCCUCCCUACCAGCUUCUGAGCUCUCACAAGGCAUUGCAUAUAUAUUUCCAAGUCUAUCACUGAAGAUGCAAGGGUUAAAGACUUCACUUUUAAUUACACAAAAUCAAAGUUUUCAAGAUGCUGAAUCAGGAACUUAAUAUCAAAAGGUCAUUUUGCUCUGAUUCUAGGACACAUUCAAAAUGAUUAGGCUAUGUUUAGGGCUGUCUAUUUGGUACUGCCACAGAAUUCAGCACCAGAAAUAUUUUAUUUAAAAAAACGACCAGAGUUCUUAAAAUAUUUUUGGCAACAAACACAGGGUAAGAUCCAGAUUAAGUUCAGUGUAAUAAAGCAUUGUUUAAAUCAAUGAGACAAACUAGUCAUGACUAAUUUAAAUUCCAUUAAUUUCAAUAUGACUUCGUUAUAAGUCUGGAUCCUACCCACAGGUUUAAUAUCAAUACCUAAGGUCUGCAUUCUUUAAAGCCACAGGAGGACCAAGUUUGCAUUUUUAAAGCUAGAAAAGAAUUUGCUGUGGAGAGAUGUUAGUGGCCUGCAUAGCUCGUUGCCCCUUCCCAUGAAUAGCAGAAUUCAUCUCCUCUUGGCACAGAAUUCUGAUUCUUUCUAGCACAGUAUACACAGGCCUUAUGAUCAGACCAGUAACAGGGAAUUGGUUCUUCACCUGAUUUCACUUGCAGCCAUUUGUGACAGAUUUAGACGGAAGUGACAGUUACGUUCUGGGGCAAAGUCUCGUCCUAGAAUUUAUACUGAAAUUAAUACUGCAUUAGCAAGAGUUGUAAAACAAGUGCUCUUGUUUGAGAAAGAUAAUUUAGACAUUCACUGUAUGAAUAAAAUAUUACAUUUUUAUUUUGAAAAUGUUAAUUAUGAUUCUAAAAUAAGGACACCAUCAGAACAGCCCUUGAAGCAGGAAGACACAUUUUACAACUUCAAAAUCUUACAGGCAACACUUUCCAGAUGCUACAUGGUAAAAUGAGUUCUCAAACUUGGGUCCCCAGAUGAUGUUGGACUAUAACUCCAAUCAUCCCCAGCCACAAUGGCCAAACUCACAUUUCUAUCCUUUAAAAUGGGCUGUUGGAUUCGCCUAACAAUCUGAAUAUUGAGUGUGUUUCAAUACUGCAACAGGCCUUUUUUGUUUGGCGCAACAAUCCAAGAGCUGCUUAGUGCUAAA